CGGUUCCCCCUUCGGGGGGACAGGGAGACAGGUGGUGCAUGGUUGUCGUCAGCUCGUGUCGUGAGAUGUUGGGUUAAGUCCCGCAACGAGCGCAACCCCUACGUUUAGUUGCUAACGCGUGAAGGCGAGCACUCUAGACGAACUGCCGUUGACAAAACGGAGGAAGUGGGGAUGACGUCAAAUCAUCAUGCCCCUUAUGUUCUGGGCUACACACGUGCUACAAUGGCCGGUACAGACGGACGCAAAGCCGCGAGGUGGAGCAAAUCCUAAAAAGCCGGUCUCAGUUCGGAUUGCAGGCUGCAAUUCGCCUGCAUGAAGUCGGAAUCGCUAGUAAUCGCGGAUCAGCACGCCGCGGUGAAUACGUUCCCGGGCCUU
rnacentral:rRNA from 1 species